UACGGAGGAUGCGAGCGUUAUCCGGAUUUAUUGGGUUUAAAGGGAGCGUAGACGGUGAUGCAAGUCAGAAGUGAAAGCCCGGGGCUCAACUCCGGGACUGCUUUGGAAACUGUGUAACUGGAGUACAGGAGGGGCAGGCGGAAUUCCUGGUGUAGCGGUGAAAUGCGUAGAUAUCAGGAGGAACACCGGCGGCGAAGGCGGCCUGCUGGACUGAAACUGACGUUGAGGCUCGAAAGCGUGGGGAGCAAACAGG
rnacentral:rRNA from 1 species